rnacentral:rRNA from 1 species
UACAGAGGUGGCAAGCGUUGUUCGGAAUUACUGGGCGUAAAGGGCGCGUAGGCGGUCUUGUAAGUCUUGUGUGAAAUCCCUCGGCUUAACUGAGGAACUGCACGGGAUACUGCGAGACUUGAGAUCGGGAGAGGGAAGCGGAAUUCCGGGUGUAGCGGUGAAAUGCGUAGAUAUCAGGAGGAACACCAAUUGCGAAGGCAGCUCGCUGGGACGUAACUGACGCUGAGACGCGAAAGCCAGGGGAGCGAACGGG